AGAGUUUGAUCCUGGCUCAGGAUGAACGCUGGCGGCGUGCCUAAUACAUGCAAGUCGAACGAAACUUCUUUAUCACCGAGUGCUUGCACUCACCGAUAAAGAGUUGAGUGGCGAACGGGUGAGUGACACGUGGGCAACCUGCCCAAAAGAGGGGGAUAACACUUGGAAACAGGUGCUAAUACCGCAUAACCAUAGUUACCGCAUGGUAACUAUGUAAAAGGUGCCUAUACUACCGCUUUUGGAUGGGCCCGCGGCGCAUUAGCUAGUUGGUAGGGUAAAGGCUUACCAAGGCAAUGAUGCGUAGCCGAAUUGAGAGGUUGAUCGGCCACAUUGGGACUGAGACACGGCCCAAACUCCUACGGGAGGCAGCAGUGGGGAAUAUUGCACAAUGGGGGAAACCCUGAUGCAGCAACGCCGCGUGAGUGAUGACGGCCUUCGGGUCGUAAAACUCUGUUGUUGGAGAAGAAUGGUCGGCAGAGUAACUGUUGUCGGCGUGACGGUACCCAAGGAGGAAGCCACGGCUAACUACGUGCCAGCAGCCGCGGUAAUACGUAGGUGGCAAGCGUUAUCCGGAUUUAUUGGGCGUAAAGCGAGCGCAGGCGGUUUUUUAAGUCUGAUGUGAAAGCCCUCGGCUUAACCGAGGAAGUGCAUCGGAAACUGGGAAACUUGAGUGCAGAAGAGGACAGUGGAACUCCAUGUGUAGCGGUGAAAUGCGUAGAUAUAUGGAAGAACACCAGUGGCGAAGGCGGCUGUCUGGUCUGUAACUGACGCUGAGGCUCGAAAGCAUGGGUAGCGAACAGGAUUAGAUACCCUGGUAGUCCACGCCGUAAACGAUGAGUGCUAAGUGUUGGAGGGUUUCCGCCCUUCAGUGCCGCAGCUAACGCAUUAAGCAUUCCGCCUGGGGAGUACGACCGCAAGGUUGAAACUCAAAGGAAUUGACGGGGGCCCGCACAAGCGGUGGAGCAUGUGGUUUAAUUCGAAGCAACGCGAAGAACCUUACCAGGUCUUGACAUCCUUUGACCACUCUAGAGAUAGAGCUUCUCCUUCGGGGGCAAAGUGACAGGUGGUGCAUGGUUGUCGUCAGCUCGUGCCGGGAGAUGUUGGGUUAAGUCCCGCAACGAGCGCAACCCUUAUUGUUAGUUGCCAGCAUUAAGUUGGGCACUCUAGCAAGACUGCCGGUGACAAACCGGAGGAAGGUGGGGAUGACGUCAAAUCAUCAUGCCCCUUAUGACCUGGGCUACACACGUGCUACAAUGGACGGUACAACGAGUCGCAAGACCGCGAGGUUUAGCAAAUCUCUUAAAGCCGUUCUCAGUUCGGAUUGUAGGCUGCAACUCGCCUACAUGAAGUCGGAAUCGCUAGUAAUCGCGGAUCAGCAUGCCGCGGUGAAUACGUUCCCGGGCCUUGUACACACCGCCCGUCA
rnacentral:rRNA from 1 species